AUUGACCGCUGGCGGCAGGCCUAACACGUGCAAGUCGAACGAGUGGCGGACGGGUGAGUAAUGUCUGGGAACCUGCCUGAUGGAGGGGGAUAACUACUGGAAACGGUAGCUAAUACCGCAUACCCUCAGAUGUGCCCAGAUUGGAUUAGCUAGUUGGUGGGGGAACGGAUCCCCAAGGCGACGAUCCCUAGCUGGUCUGAGAGGAUGACCCGCCACACUGGAACUGAGAAACGGUCCAGACUCCUACGGGAGGCAGCAGUGGGGAAUAUGGCACAAUGGGCGCAAGCCUGAUGCAGCCAUGCAGCGUGUAUGAAGAAGGCCUUCGGGUUGUAAAGUACUUUCAGCGGGGAGGCGUUACCCGCAGAAGAAGCACCGGCUAACUCCGUGCCAGCAGCCGCGGUAAUUC
rnacentral:rRNA from 1 species